CCUACGGGAGGCAGCAGUGGGGAAUAUUGCACAAUGGGGGAAACCCUGAUGCAGCGACGCCGCGUGAGUGAAGAAGUAUUUCGGUAUGUAAAGCUCUAUCAGCAGGGAAGAAAAUGACGGUACCUGACUAAGAAGCCCCGGCUAACUACGUGCCAGCAGCCGCGGUAAUACGUAGGGGGCAAGCGUUAUCCGGAUUUACUGGGUGUAAAGGGAGCGUAGGUGGCAUGGUAAGCCAGAAGUGAAAACCCGGGGCUCAACCCCGCGGAUUGCUUUUGGAACUAUCAGGCUGGAGUGCUGGAGGGGUAAGCGGAAUUCCUAGUGUAGCGGUGAAAUGCGUAGAUAUUAGGAGGAACACCGGUGGCGAAGGCGGCUUACUGGCGCUCAACUGACGCUCAUGCACGAAAGUGUGGGUAUCGAACAGGAUUAGAUACCCGGGUAGUC
rnacentral:rRNA from 1 species